AGAUGCCAGAUGCUUGAUAGAUCCUGUAGUUCAACUUGAUUCCUAGAGAGAAGCUGUUCAUAUGAUAUCAGAAAAAUGAAAUUUCAGGAAACUAGACUGGAGUCUCACUUCUUUCCCAGCCCGGAACUCUUGGGAGCUGUAAUCCUGGAUAUACAGUAGAUAAUAAUGGUGUUUUUGUUUUACGCAUGAAAGUGGAAAAUUCUUCAAAUUAAAGAUGGACACUGACUUUUCUCGCCAGAAAUGGUUUAUAAGAAUCAACUUGCAAAAAUUUAAGAGGCAGUAAAAGAAAGAGUAAAAUAUUUUCUUCUAUCACUGUUUGAUUCUUUGCUAGAUUGUAAACUCCAUGAAAGCAGGAUAACUUGCUUAUCUGCAAUGCCUGACCCAGAAUAGAUAUUCAAGAAAUACUUGAAGUUAAUGAAAAAUCUCUGUAGAAUUUUUUUGUUUUGAAUCUCUGGAAAUGACAACCAUUUUAAUGGCAUUUCAACAAGACUACAUGGAAUACUUGGGACUUAAAUUUUGACUUGAUAAACUACCUGGAUAGCAAUGAGUCUUAAUAAUAACUUCUCUUAUAAUAUGGAACCUAUUCUUUAGAAACCUAUAAUAUGAAACCUAUUCUUUGUUAAAGCAAAUAUAAAUAUCAAAUUAGAUUUAGAGUAGAUGAUGGUGACUAUCUUAGAUUCAAACAUAAUAGGAAGAUUAUUAUUUCUGAAGCUCAUAGAGAAAUGUGGUAUAAUAUAGCCAGUAAGUACUUAUAAUAUCUAAACAAGAUAAAAAUCAAAUUUCAUGGUAAAAUACCAGUUAAAUGGUAUAUGAUAAUGAAUGCACAAAUUGUGCUGUCAGAGUUUAUCCAGACUUUUUAUGUUAGGAAGAAUGGAUUAAAGAUCUGUAAAUUGAAAGCAAAACUUCAAGCCUAUAUAAAAGCAAAGAAUAUGGCACUGUGACAUUGGAUUAGCCAUAAGGCAAAAGAAAAGACUGAUAACUUUGUAUACACUAAAAUUCAAACUUUGUUUGCAUGCCAUGUAACUGACAAAGGCUCCAUUUAAAUUAAGAAAAUGAUCAAAGGAUAUGAAUGGGCAAUUCAUAGAUGAGGAUCCCUGAGUAGUCACAUGAAAAGAUGCUUAAUCUAACUACUAAUAAAAUAACUGUACAUUAAAACAACACUGAGAUUCCAUUUCACUGCCAUCAGAUGGGCGAAAAUUGAAACAGAACAGACGAACUGUGACACUUAAACAUGUUGUCAAGGCUGGAGUCACUGGUUGCAGUGAAAUUAAUUUAUUACUUUGGAGAUGGUUUGGCAACAUCAUUUUUUGGGAAGAUGAUUAUACCCAAUCUUUGGGUAUUCUUAAGGAGUUCUUGACAUGUGUACUCAAGGAAAUGGGCACAGAAAGUUUAUUGCAGUAAAAUACUUUUAGUUGUAAAAGCCUGGAACCAGUGUCCAUUAGAAGAAUGAAUAAAUAAAUUGUGGUUUGUAGAAUUUGGCUGUUAAAAAUGAAUUAACAUAAGGUAUGUGUAUUAACUUUACACCUCAAAAAAAAAAAAGACUUAAAAAUGGCCAACUGAUAUGUAUUGUGUGAGAUUUAGUAGUUUGAGAACAUGAAAACAAAGUUUGAUGUAUAUACAUGUUAAAAACCUGUAUGAGAAUGAUAAACCCCCAAAUCCUGGCUUGUUUACCUCUGGAGAGGUAAAAGAAAAAUGGAUUGAAUAUCUGUUAACUUGUUACCUCAUUAAAAAACAUCAAACUUGAGAAAAGUUUGGGUUUAUUAGAUUGAGUGAUGGUCAUUCUCCACACAUUUUUUAUGUUUAAUAUUUAAUAAUAAAAACCUGUCUGUUUUUUAGCAUU